UAGCGUAGGAUGCAAGUCGUUGUUCGGAAAGUUACUGGGCGUAAAGAGUACGUAGGCGGUUUGGUAAGUCUGAUAUUAAAGACCGGAGCUCAACUUCGGGACUGUAUCGGAAACUGUCAGACGUAGAGGACAUAGAGGAAGUCGGAAUUCUACAGUGUAGCGGUGAAAUGCGUAGAUAUGGGAAGAACACCAGUGGCGAAAGCG
rnacentral:rRNA from 1 species